CAAGUACUCCCUCCGUCCGGAAUUACUUGUCAUCAAAAUGGAUGUGUCUAGAACUAAAAUACAUCUAGAUACAUCCCUUUCAAUGACAAGUAUUUUCGGACGGAGGGAGUACAAG
rfam:Triticum aestivum genome assembly, contig: Triticum_aestivum_CS42_TGACv1_scaffold_695406_T_7AS-0.028890_3DL-0.023218